rnacentral:rRNA from 1 species
UCACAUGGGACUGCCGGCCUUAAGCCGGAGGAAGUGGGGAUGAUGUCAAGUCAGCAUGGCCUUUAUGUCCUGGGCUACACACACGCUACAAUGGUCAGCACAAUGGGUCGCUAAGCCGCAAGGUGGAGCCAAUCCUCAAAGUUGGCCUCAGUUCAGAUUGUAGGCUGCAACUCGCCUGCAUGAAGAUGGAGUUGCUAGUAAACGCAGGUCAGCUAUACUGCGUUGAAUACGUUCCCGGGGCUU